rnacentral:rRNA from 1 species
AUGGCAUGGCAGGACCCAGUGGCCAUCUUCGGCGCCUUCAUGGACUUCGUCAGCGCCGACCUCUGCUUCAUCAUCUACGGCCACGACCCCUUUGCCGUCGGCAUCAUCUGGCACCUUGGAGUGCAAAUUAAAUGUGUUCAUGGAGUGGGGUGUAAUUGUGAUUUGUGCAAUGGGUUUAGAGUGGAAGGGGCUGUCAUUCUUGUUUAG